rnacentral:hammerhead_ribozyme from 1 species
CAACUGCUGAUGAGACCCAACCGACCAGGUCGAAACAGCUGUCCAGUAG